rnacentral:rRNA from 1 species
AUUGAACGCUGGCGGCAGGCCUAACACAUGCAAGUCGAGCGGAUGAAGGGAGCUUGCUCCUGGAUUCAGCGGCGGACGGGUGAGUAAUGCCUAGGAAUCUGCCUUGUAGUGGGGGAUAACGUCCGGAAACGGGCGCUAAUACCGCAUACGUCCUGAGGGAGAAAGUGGGGGAUCUUCGGACCUCACGCUAUCAGAUGAGCCUAGGUCGGAUUAGCUAGUUGGUGGGGUAAAGGCCUACCAAGGCGACGAUCCGUAACUGGUCUGAGAGGAUGAUCAGACACACUGGAACUGAGACACGGUCCAGACUCCUACGGGAGGCAGCAGUGGGGAAUAUUGGACAAUGGGCGAAAGCCUGACCCAGCCAUGCCGCGUGUGUGAAGAAGGUCUUCGGAUUGUAAAGCACUUUAAGUUGGGAGGAAGGGCAGUAAGUUAAUACCUUGCUGUUUUGACGUUACCAACAGAAUAAGCACCGGCUAACUUCGUG